rnacentral:miRNA from 1 species
UCGCGCUUCUCUCUCGCAGUCU